AAGGGUUGCAGAUGGCAGAGAACCAGUGCCCAGGGUUCAGCUACCCAGAAUGCUGUCUCUGGUGGAUGGAGGCUACAGCACCCACCUGCUAGGUCUGAAUCAGGGGUUAAGAGGAACAUCAUGCCCAGAGUGCCCGGACGCAAGCCAGGCCCACAGAAGGAGCUCGAUCAACAGUAGGGAGAAUUCAAUCAGGUCGAAUCUGAGUCCCUCAAGCUGCAACUUGAGUUAAUAUUCUUUUGUCUCCUUUUCGGAAGAGAUUGAGAAUCACGCGGUCCCCUUCUGGUAUUUCUUAAGGAGCAUGAGGACUUUAACCUUCUCCUCUCCAGGCUGUGGAGCAGAGAGAACGAUCGUGCUCGGUUGGUCCUGGUCCUGCUUCUGAGGUCCAGACCUUAGAGACCAGGGGCCCUGUGUGGCCCAGACGCAAGGAAGAGAGUCUGCCUCGGGGGCAGGGACCAGGACCCAGGUCCUCAGAUUGUCUGAAUCUGGUUCCCAUAAUCCUAUCUCCUGUACCCAGGCAUUCUGGGCCACAGCCUUUUCUG